UGACUGAGACCCUGAUGGUGGUGGCUUAGGCUUAAUCUCAGACAGCUGGAAGGUAGUAUUCCGCCCUCACCCAGCCACCCGAGUAAAUGAGAAUGAUGACUGACUGAGACCCUGAUGGUGGUGGCUUAGGCAAGAUGAACGUCUGAAAUGGAGGCCCAGGGCUGCCACGAUGGCUCUGUAGUCAUCAGGGAGGGAGCUCCUUUUAUCUUGUUACCUACUCCCCUCUUGUGCCCCUUUCUUCCCUUGAUCUAAGAAGGUUGCUCCGGAUCUCGCCAUCUGGCCUGCGUUCAAUCAGCAGAAGCUUCCUGGAGGAGCAGGAGGAGGCACUGUGCUCGCAUCACAUACCAGUGGCCAGAAGUUGGCUUCAGGGAAGCUCAGGAAAUAGGAUGCGAGAAGCCAUGAGACCUCCCCAAACUCUGCAGUAACAGAGUCAACAAGACAAUGGCUUAAAGAUGGAGAGACCAGUUGAUCGGUCACACAAGCUGUUCCACGAUAAUUCUUGUGUCAGAAGGGGAGGCUGACUACCAGGACCACUGGCCCCACUUCCAGCCCCUCCAUUCUGAGUACACUUCAGAGGGCUCUGGCAGGCUCCAGCUGGUCCUUCCAUUCGGGGUCCCUGACUUCCCGCAACAUAGAACCCUCAAAUAGAUGAAGGUGGAGCUUCUUGGGUAGAGACUGGAGGAUUGGGGUGUUGCCCACCGGGCCUUACGGACUCUCCUGAGUGAUCUGAGUCACCUCCAAAGACACGUGCCCAGCUUCCUUUCAAGUCUCUGGCCAAUGCAAUGUGAGCAGAAGUGAAGGGGCAACUUUCAGGUGAUGACUUGGAAAAGAAAGCUUAGUCCUCUGCUUCUCCUGUCACCCGAAAGAGAAACAGAGGCUUGUCUUGUUGAAGCCAGUGUGUUUGGUGUCUUUUUGUAUAGUGGCUUAGACAGUGGCCUAACUAGAAGACCAAGGCUCAAAGGAACACAUUUUGAGCUUCUCCACAGUUUGAGAACCUCUACAUUACCUACACCAAGCCUUCCCCAGCACUCAAUUUAUGGAAGACCAUUUCUCUUCUCAUGACACAUGUCCUCAUGUUGCUUUGGCCUGUUUUAAAGCUUUCUCAACUCCAUCUCAAUAAAGAAAUCUGCAGCUUUGUUGG
ensembl:lncRNA HEIH hepatocellular carcinoma up-regulated EZH2-associated long non-coding RNA